rnacentral:rRNA from 1 species
AGGCUGAAACUCGCCUACAUGAAGCUGGAGUUGCUAGUAAUCGCGGAUCAGCAUGCCGCGGUGAAUACGUUCCCGGGCCUUGUACACACCGCCCGUCACACCAUGGGAGCCGGUAAUACCCGAAGUCAGUAGUCCAACCUCGUGAGGACGCUGCCGAAGGUAGGAUUGGCGACUGGGGUGAAGUCGUAACAAGGUACC